rnacentral:rRNA from 1 species
AGAACGAACGCUGGCGGCGGGCCUCAUACAUGCAAGUCGAGCGCGAAAGUCCGCAAGGAUGAGUAAAGCGGCGCACGGGUGAGUAACACGUGGAUAAUCUACCCUUUGGAUUGGAAUAACCUGUCGAAAGACGGGCUAAUGCCGAGUAAGCUCUCGGGAGCGUGAAGCUCUUGCGAGGAAAGAUGGCGCAAGCUAUCGCCGAUGGAUGAGUCUGCGUCCCAUUAGUUAGUUGGUGAGGUAACAGCUUACCAAGACGAUGAUGGGUACCUGGUCUGAGAGGAUGAUCAGGCACACUGGAACUGAAACACGGUCCAGACUCCUACGGGAGCAGCAGUAGGAAUAUGCGCAAUGGAACGAAAGUCUGACGCAGCCACGCCGCGUGAGUGAGGAGGCCGUUGGUGUAAAGCUCUGUACAGUACCGGAAAACGCGUAUACGUAGGGAAAGUUCGAGGUAGCGU